UAGGGAAUCUUCCGCAAUGGACGAAAGUCUGACGGAGCAACGCCGCGUGAGUGAUGAAGGCUUUCGGGUCGUAAAACUCUGUUGUUAGGGAAGAACAAGUGCUAGUUGAAUAAGCUGGCACCUUGACGGUACCUAACCAGAAAGCCACGGCUAACUACGUGCCAGCAGCCGCGGUAAUACGUAGGUGGCAAGCGUUAUCCGGAAUUAUUGGGCGUAAAGCGCGCGCAGGUGGUUUCUUAAGUCUGAUGUGAAAGCCCACGGCUCAACCGUGGAGGGUCAUUGGAAACUGGGAGACUUGAGUGCAGAAGAGGAAAGUGGAAUUCCAUGUGUAGCGGUGAAAUGCGUAGAGAUAUGGAGGAACACCAGUGGCGAAGGCGACUUUCUGGUCUGUAACUGACAC
rnacentral:rRNA from 1 species